rnacentral:rRNA from 1 species
CUAUUAUUAAAAUUUAAAUUGAAAAUACUAAAAUAGUAGAUAAUUAUUUAUUGAAACUUAAAUAAUUUGGCGGUAUUUUAGUUCAUUUAGAGGAAUCUGUUUAAUAAUUGAUAAUCCACGAAUAAAUUUACUUAAUUUUUUAUUUUGUAUAUCGUUGUUAAAAAAAUAUUUUUUAAUAAUAAUAAUAUUUAAAAAUUUUGAUUAAAAAUUAAAUCAGAUCAAGAUGCAGAUUAUAAUUAAGAAUAUAAUGGAUUACAAUAAAUUUAUUUAGAUGAAUAUUAAUUUGUAAAAGUUAAUUGAAGGUGGAUUUAAAUGUAAUUUUAUUUAG